UACGGAGGAUGCAAGCGUUAUCCGGAAUGAUUGGGCGUAAAGGGUCCGCAGGUGGCAGUGUAAGUCUGCUGUCAAAGAAUGAGGCUUAACCUCAUCAAGGCAGUGGAAACUACACAGCUAGAGUACGGUCGGGGUAGAAGGAAUUCCUGGUGUAGCGGUGAGAUGCGUAGAGAUCAGGAAGAACACCGGUGGCGAAAGCGUUCUGCUAGACCUGUACUGACACUGAGGGACGAAAGCUAGGGGAGCGAAUGGG
rnacentral:rRNA from 1 species